rnacentral:misc_RNA from 1 species
GAUGAAGAACGCAGCGAAAUGCGAUAAGUAAUGUGAAUUGCAGAAUUCAGUGAAUCAUCGAAUCUUUGAACGCACAUUGCGCCCGCCAGUAUUCUGGCGGGCAUGCCUGUUCGAGCGUCAUUUCAAACAUCAAGCCCCCGGCUUGUGUUGGGGACCUGCGGCUGCCGCAGGCCCUGAAAAGCAGUGGCGGGCUCGCUGUCACACCGAGCGUAGUAGCAUACAUCUCGCUCUGGGCGUGCUGCGGGUUCCGGCCGUUAAACCACCUUCAUAACCCAAGGUUGACCUCGGAUCAGGUAGGAAGACCCGCUGAACUUAAGCAUAUCAAUAAGCGGAGGA